rnacentral:rRNA from 1 species
GUAUUGGGUGGAAAGUGGCGAACGGGUGAGUAACACGUUGGUGACCUGCCCUGAGGAGGGGAAUAACCGUGGGAAACCACGGCUAAUACCCCGGAUGUCUAAGCUGUUAGAGGGCUUAGACUAAAGCCCCUGCAAGGGGUGCGCCUCGGGAGGGGCCUGCGGGCUAUCAGCUUGUUGGUGGGGUAAUGGCUUACCAAGGCGAAGACGGCUAGGGGGCGUGAGAGCGCGACCCCCCACAAUGGAACUGAGACACGGUCCAUACUCCUACGGGAGGCAGCAGUGAGGAAUAUUGCGCAAUGGGGGCAACCCUGACGCAGCAACGCCGCGUGGACGAUGAAGGCCUUCGGGUUGUAAAGUCCUUUUCUGAAGGAAGAUAGUGACGGUACUUCAGGAAUAAGUCCCGGCUAACUACGUGCCAGCAGCCGCGGUAAAACGUAGGGGGCGAGCGUUAUCCGGAUUUACUGGGCGUAAAGCGCACGUAGGCGGCAUCGUAAGUUGGACGUGAAAGCUCCCGGCUCAACUGGGAGAGGUCGUUCAAAACUGUGGUGCUUGAGGUUGAUAGAGGAGAGUGGAAUUCCCGGUGUAGUGGUGGAAUGCGUAGAUAUCGGGAGGAACACCAGUGGCGAAGGCGGCUCUCUAAGGUCACACCUGACGCUGAGGUGCGAAAGCGUGGGGAGCGAACGGGAUUAGAUACCCCGGUAGUCCACGCUGUAAACGAUGGAUACUAGGUGUGGGAGGUUAUUUACCCCUUCUGUGCCGUAGCUAACGCGUUAAGUAUCCCGCCUGGGGACUACGGCCGCAAGGUUAAAACUCAAAGGAAUUGACGGGGGCCCGCACAAGCAGCGGAGCGUGUGGUUUAAUUCGAUGAUACGCGAAGAACCUUACCUGGGCUUGACAUGGUGGUAGUAGUGAAGCGAAAGCGGAACGACCCUUCGGGGAGCCAUCACAGGUGCUGCAUGGCUGUCGUCAGCUCGUGUCGUGAGAUGUUGGGUUAAGUCCCGCAACGAGCGCAACCCUCGUCGCUAGUUAUAUGUGUCUAGUGAGACUGCCGGUAUCAAACCGGAGGAAGGUGGGGAUGACGUCAAGUCAGCAUGGUCUUUAUGUCCAGGGCUACACACACGCUACAAUGGCCGGUACAAUGGGUUGCCAUACCGCGAGGUGGAGCUAAUCCUCAAAGCCGGUCUCAGUUCGGAUUGCAGUCUGCAACUCGACUGCAUGAAGGUGGAGUUGCUAGUAACCGCGCGUCAGCAAUAGU